AUGUGUUUCCUCUCUGGCCAUUGCCAUCCGCCCAAAUCUACAGACAUCCCGCAUGUUCCCGGGCUAGUCUCCCCAAUACAGGGCACCAAGGCUGUAGACUGCGCAGCCCUCCUGGAGACAGAUGGAAGCUCCUUGGGUCGACAGAUUACAGCUUCUGGAAUCCCCUACUUCCUUCAACUCCGAGAUGGACACCCACUGUCCAGGGAGAGGAUGCCUGGAAAUAACAGCUGGGAUCUACAGUGGCCAUAA
rnacentral:lncRNA from 1 species